AACUUUCUGAGCUGUAAAUAGAGAUGAGAGUGCUUAUGUGUUGAUCCUUAAUGGUGUGAUCAUGUACACUAAAUGAUCAAUUAUUCUCCAUUACAGGUUGUUGUGAUAUAUUUGAGGAGUCGUUCUCCCUCUGUUUUAUAUGUGGACAUUUGGGACCACUGUUAGAAUUUGGUUGACCACUUGACAUGUGAGAGCCUGAGGAGUUGUUCCCCCUCUGUCCAUGUUCGAGGACUUGCUCUCUGUCUGCCUCCACUCUCUGCCUUCACUGUACCAAAGUUUGUCUGUUGAGUCUCCUCUAGUCUGGUUGACCACUUGACAUGUGAGAGCCUGAGGAGUUGUUUUCCAGACACAGGUAGAGCUGGCAGGGGCGUCACCCUGGGCCUGCCCUUUUGGGCUGGGCUUCAGCUGCAGAUCUAAAGGCUGCUUCCAGGGGCAUGGGGCCCUCAGCCUUUGUUUUUCUUUGCUUCUGCACCGUACAACAUACAUCACACCUUAUUUUCACACAUCCAAACACUGUUAACACCACUGACGCGUAACAUAUUUUACACAUCCCACUACGUAGUUAGAGCUAUCUUGAUUUGGAGUUAAAUAAAUUUACUUUUGGCUUGAGAGGUUUGUGUGUGGCCUCCCUUCUUGUUGCCAUCUUUGAGCUAGGUGGUAACAGUAGUAUGCAUGAGAGAAGACGCCGCGAGAUUUGUGGACUUCUAUGUGGUGUCCGCUGAUAAUGUAGUGGGCUGGU